CUGAGCAGUGGGCUUCAUCUUGAAAAUGAGAGAUGAGAAACCGUGUCAGAAACUGUAAGAAAAAUUGCACAAGAUGACAUUGUUAGGAAGAGGUGGCUGGAUUUGUCUCACUCCAAAAUCUGAAGUCUCAGGACUUGAUACCUGCAGGAGGGAAGAAGCCAACUCAGGCCAGGGCUGAGAGAUAGUGAUGACACUGGUUCUAGGACUUUCCCCUGCUCGAAACCCCGAGGCGCCCUCUCCAGGGAUGAAAUUGACAGCAGGAGGAACAGAGUCGGGGAGCAUCCAGCU
rnacentral:lncRNA from 1 species